UCAGGGGUUAAUAUUGUUGCUAAAUCCCCUUGCGGUUUCGCUUUUCUCCUAGCCUGGGUGAGACCCCCCCCUGAGGGGGUUUUCUCUAAGAAGCAUGCUCUGCAUAUUGUGCACGCAGUCUGUUUUAAAAGCUCCACUGUUCAAAAAACUUUUUAUCUUCCUCAGGCUUAGGCAACGCUUUGAGAGGCUUUGGGGGCAAAGUGGGGAA
rnacentral:sRNA from 1 species